AUGAACUCUUUGACUUUUGGCUCCACCGUGCCUUUUACUGCUAUGACCAGGCCAUUGAGGCUUGAGCAUUUAUAUCUGCAGUAUCUGCAUCUUCAGGUUUGCCAUCCACUUCAGUUCAUCAUGCAUCUCCUCAUAGAUUUCACCUUGCUCCUCUUCCUGUGCACCCAAGCAAAUUCUGCCGCGACGGACGCCAUCUUGGCCGGCCAAGCACUUACUGUCAACGACAAGCUCGUCUCCAAAAAUGGCAGGUACGCGCUUGGUUUCUUCAGCACAAGCAGCAGCAAACCCUCCCAAGACACCACCAACUGGUACCUUGGCAUAUGGUUCAAUACAGUCCCCAAGUUUACUUCUGCAUGGGUCGCAAAUAGGGAUACACCAAUCAAGAGCACCACCGCACUAGAGCUCACAAUCUCCCAUGAUGGCAACCUUGUCAUCUUAAAGCGGUCCACCAAGUCUAUAAUCUGGAGCACACAAGCAAACAUCACAAGAAAUAGCACCACUGCUAUGCUUUUGAGUAGUGGAAAUCUCAUCCUGACAGACUCUCCAAACUCAGCAGAGGUUCUGUGGCAGAGCUUUGAUCACCCCACAGAUACACUUUUCCCUGGGGCAAAGCUUGGAUGGGAUAAGGUCACUGGCCUGAACCGUAAGCUCGUCUCUUGGAAGAACUUGAUUGACCCAGCUACCGGUGUGUACUGUCAUAGGUUAGACCCCAGUGGUGUCAAUCAGUUAUUGCUUACACCAUUGAACUCCUCCAUACCAUAUUGGUCGAGCGGUGUAUGGAACGGCAAAUACUUUCUCUCAAUAGCAGAGAUGACAAGCAGCAACCAAGUUUCGAACACAACAUUUGUCCACAACGACCAAGAGAAGUACACGGUAUUUAACUUAGUCGAUGAAUCUUUGGUUACUCAUUUUGCAGUUGACAUCUCAGGUCGAUUAAAACAAUCCAUUUGGUUGGAGAGUUCACAGGAUUGGACAAUGAUCUAUGCCCAACCAAAACUUCAGUGUGAUGUCUAUGCAAUCUGUGGACCUUUCACAAUUUGCAAUGAUAAUGAGCUUCCAUAUUGCAAUUGUAUGGAGGGCUUCACCAUAACAUCCCCCGAGGAUUGGGAGCUAGAAGAUCGAACCAGUGGCUGCUCAAGAAUUACUCCGUUAGAAUGCAUUAGCAAUAAAAGCACAAAAUGCCCCAAAGUCGAAGCUGCUGCAAGCCCGAAUGAGUGCGCUCAAAUUUGCCUGAAUAAUUGCUCUUGCACCGCAUAUUCCUUCAAUGAUGAAAAAUGUUCUAUCUGGCAUAAUGAAUUGCUCAACAUAAGAGCACUACAAUGUAGUGGUAGUACAUGUUCAACCGGAGAAACUCUUAAUCUUCGUGUUUCUGCUAAAGAUUUCCACAGAUUGACAAACAACAGAAAGGGGAUUGUUAUUGGAGUUGCAACUGGUGCAGGCAUUUCUGCUCUAGGUUUAUGUGCACUUUUUCUCCUGGUAAUGAUUUGGAGAAACAGACGUAAGAGCUCUAGCCAUACACUGGAUGGUGUUCAAGGUUGUAACAGAAUCAUUGCAUUUAGAUACACUGAUUUACAGCGCGCCACAGCAAAAUUCAAAGAUAAGUUGGGGGCAGGCAGUUUUGGUUCUGUAUUUAAGGGUUUUUUAAAUGACUCAGUAGCUAUAGCAGUGAAAAGGCUUGACGGUGCUUAUCAAGGAGAGAAGCAAUUCAGAGCUGAAGUGAGCUCAAUUGGAGCUAUCCAGCACAUCAAUUUAGUUAAGCUUGUCGGUUUCUGUUGUGAGGGUUCCAAGAGGUUGCUUGUUUAUGAACACAUGUCAAAUCGCUCUCUUGAUGUCCAUUUAUUUCGAAACAAUUCGACGAUAUUGAGUUGGACUAUUAGAUAUCAGAUAGCCAUAGGGGUUGCUCGAGGUUUAGCCUACUUGCAUGAGGGAUGUCGAGACUGCAUCAUGCACUGUGAUAUUAAGCCAGAAAACAUACUUCUCGAUGAUUCAUUCAUUCCCAAAGUUGCAGACUUUGGGAUGGCAAAGCUUUUGGGAAGGGAAUUCAGCCGAGUACUGACUACAAUGAGAGGAACUGCAGGGUACCUUGCACCUGAAUGGAUCAGUGGUGUUGCUGUUACACCAAAAGUCGAUGUGUAUAGCUAUGGGAUGAUGUUGCUGGAAAUUAUAUCCGGAAAAAGGAACUCAAGUGCAUCAUGUUCUAGUGGUGGCAAUUUUGAUGUUUAUUUCCCUGUUCAUGCCGCACACAAGCUUCUUGAAGGAGAUCUUGGGAGUUUGGUAGAUCAAAUGCUACAUGGUGAUGUCAAUCUGGAUGAGGCUGAACUGGCUUGCAAGGUUGCAUGUUGGUGCAUCCAAGACAAUGAGCUUGAUAGACCAACAAUGGGACAGGUAGUUCAGAUUCUUCAAGGACUAGUUGAGAUCAGGAUGCCCCCGAUACCAAGACACCUCGAAGCCAUGGCUUAA
rnacentral:rRNA from 1 species